rnacentral:lncRNA from 10 species
CAGAGCAAUGCAGAGAGAGACACAGGUUCUAAGAGUCAAGAAUUUAGACUGGGCACCAUAAAGGUGGAUUACUGCUGCUCUAUAGUGUCUGAGAUCUGAGCUGGAAAGAUUCAAAUGCCUGGAGGUGACUUGGUGACUAGUGCUGGAAUCUUCUGAAAGUUUCUUUUCUCAUGUAUCUAUUGCCUGUAUUGGAACCACUUGGAGGCUGGGCUCACCUGGGAUUGUCUACAGAGCAUGUACAUUUGGCCUUCCCAUGCAGCUUGGCUUUUUCACAACAUGGUGGCCCCAGGGGUAUCAGCCUUUCUCCAUGAAGGCUUAAGGAUGCAAGCAGAGGUGCUCUAGGGAACAAAGCUGAUGCUGCAAUGACUUUUAUGGCCCAACCUUGGAAGUCAUAAAACAUCAUUUAUGCCCCAUUCCACUGGUAGAAACAUUCACAAACCUGCCCAAGCAGAGGGAAGCUAGACUUUCCACGUGGCACGCAGGGUCAUGCUGAAGAAGAAGAUGUAGAAUGGAAAAUAUCGCUGUGGCAGUCUGGAAAAUAGAAUCUGCCACAGAGUAAAACCUGAAAGUGAUACAGCUUGUUCUGCUCCACAAAUGCUUCUGAGGGGUGAUGAAUAAGCAUGUGGAUGAAUAAGACUCAGUCCUUGAACUUGAGGAAUUCCCAAGGCAAAUGGGGGAGACGGAUAUGUAAAUAAAAACCAUACUGUACAUACUUCUACAGCAUGUAUCAUAUUAG